AGUUGGGCAAACAAAGCGCAAAGUAGUUGCUUUAUUGAGUUUGGGUGGUCGGGAAACUUCAUACCUGCGUGGAUUUGGUGUGACUUCAAUAGGACCAUUAGAUUUCAAAUUUGGGGGAGUUGUAGUUGCUGCUUCAUCAUCGUCCACUGUUGCUUUUCUAGGUAUACUUCUGGGUUUUGUUUGUCUUUGAAUGUCUUUUUAUUUGGUGGAUUUUGCUGUGCGUGAGAUUGUAUCUCUGUAAUUCCUUCUCUCUUCAAUUUUAAUUUGUUGAUUAAAAUUGAAAUUAUUGAAAUUGCCUAACUUGUGGGAAUGAAUUUGUGAUACUAUUUUUCUGCUAAUACAUUUGGAUCGUAUUUAAAUCCGUGAAAUUACAAUUUUAUUGAAAAUUUUGUAUUUUCUAUGAUAUGAUAUGAGACAGAUUCUCCAGAGGAGAGAUUGAGAUAUUAAUGUAAAAAACAGGGGAAACAGAGAA
rnacentral:misc_RNA from 1 species